UGCGACGUUUAGAAUGAACAGCAAAGAGGUCCUGCUGCCCAGCACAGGGAGCGGUGCCCAGUCGCUUUAAAAGACCACGAUGGACGGUGAUAUGAGAAACAGAGUGUAUCCGUGUGUACGACUGGGUCAACUGGCUGUACAGCAGCAAGGGGCACCACAUGGAAAAAGGUGGCCUCAGAAAAUCUCGUUUUCUGGAAGACACCGUGUAGAACGGACGUUUCUUUCCCGAACGUUUGCUUGGAUCCACCAAAGCCACGUGGGCCGGGAACACUCUGUGCGGCGAAAUUUAAAUUGUAAAGGGAGUUUCUUGAAUAGACACAGCGCUAUUCUGACGAUGUA